AUUGAACGCUGGCGGCAGGCCUAACACAUGCAAGUCGAGCGAGCGGCGGACGGGUGAGUAAUGUCUGUGAAACUGCCUGAUGGAGGGGGAUAACUACUUGAAACGGUAGCUAAUACCGCAUACCAUCAGAUUUGCCCAGAUGGGCUUAGCUAGUAGGUGAGGUAACGGCUCACCUCGGCGACGAUACCUAGCUGGUCUGAGAGGAUGACCAGCAAAACUGGAACUGAGACACGGUCCAGACUCCUACGGUAGGCAGCAGUGGGGAAUAUUGCACAAUGGGCGAAAGCCUGAUGCAGCCAUGCCGCGUGUGUGAAGAAGGCCUUCGGGUUGUAAAGCACUUUCAGCGGGGAGGCGUUACCCGCAGAAGAAGCACCGGCUAACUCCGUGCCAGCAGCCGCGGUAAUUC
rnacentral:rRNA from 1 species